CCGGCCAUAUCUCCCUCCACAGACCUCCGAUCGACUUGAUUCCAAAAGUAUUUUCAUUCGCCUUGAAGUCAGUUAAAACUUCCUAGAAGACAUCAAAGUGAGAAAAGAACCAUGGAACGUGCUAGGAGGCCGAGAAGCUGCACAGCUCGAGCUGGAAUUCGCCCGAUGCUGCUCUUCCUUCACCGGCCGAUAUCUCUCUCAUCCAACCUCGAAUCGAGUUGAUUCCAAAAGGGAUUUUGCUGGGCCUGAGCUAUAUUACAACUUUGUAGAAGACAUCGAGGGGAAAUAACCAACGUGGUAGCCGCUACAAGUCGAAGAACACGGUGCAGUCGAGCUGGAAAUCACCUCCUUUCCCCACCGUCGUUCUCCCUCCUCCGGCCACCUUUUGCCGUGAUUCUUGAGAGGAUUCUGCACUUCUGAGGAUGUAGAUCAUUUCCCCUAAGGUGUAUUGCAUCGAUUUCAUCUGUGGAGAUCGAAUUGGAACGAAUUCAAAACUAGGGUUCUUCGGGUUUCAAACCUUAUAAGGUAAAAUUCUACUUUUUGGCUUAUAAUCUGACUUUGGUGUAGUUAUGAAAGUUUCAAUUCGAGUUAAGAUGAAGAACUUUCGUGUUGGGAGUUUUGUCUAAUUUUGACUUUGGAUGGGUGGCGGUGCCGCCACUGUGAUGGUGGUUUCCGGCGACCUCCGGCCACCCCAAGGACAGUUUCUGUCCAUUUUUGUGUUCUACGUGUCGAUACGAUCGUUUGCAUAUAUAAUUCAUAAUUUUUGGAUAUCGUAUGAUUAAGUUAUGAAUUUUUAAGUUUCGAUCGAUUUCGAUCGUUCGAUUUGUGAUCUGUGAAGAUCAGACCGUCUGAUGGAAUGGUAGAUUCGAUAUGUUGAUCGUAUGACUGUCCCGAUGACUUUGUGUGGUCACGGGCGAAGAUCCGACCGUUGGAUCUUCAUAUAAUUGAGAAACAGUGAUUAGGGAGGCGAUUCGUGAGAAUCCGUCCGUCGGAUUUUUGUAUAAAUUUGUGAAGAUGUUAGUAAGGACGAUUCAGGAAGAUCCGACCGUUGGAUCUUCGUGAUGAUUUUUGGAGGUUGAUCCUAAAGGCGAUCCGUGAGGAUCCGACCGUUGGAUCAUCAUUUAAUUUCGAUCCGACCGUUGGAUUGUCGUUUGAGUAUGUUUUUGAGUUGUUGGCUAAGUUAAGGUCAUGUUUGACUAGGUGAUUGACGGUCUUCCUUGGGUGAGCGGUUUCGGUGUGUAUUGUGUUGAAUUGAAGACGCAGCGGGAAUAUCGAGCGGGUAAUCCUGCAGGUCAGGAGAAUCAGGGCGGUGAUCGAGCGGGUUAGAGUAUUUGUUAUAGUUUUACAGCAUUUGUAAUAGUGAGGUGAGUUAAGCUCAUUGAGCCUUACAAUUUGAUUUGGUGAGAGUGUGUUGUAAUAAUUAACUUGAGGAUUUGAUUUAUUGUAAUAUUGAGAGGUGUGAAGUGUGGUUGUUUGUGAGAAAAAAAUUCAGGACGUUUAUUCUA